AGAAAAUCCAGUCUCCUGCUUCUCUGUUUAUUUAUUCAUUCAUGUUGCAAAUCCUGAGUGAGUGCCUCCUGCAUAUUGGCAAUAUUAGGCUCUCCUUAAAUUCUGUUUGCGGCUGGAAGUGAUCCUAGACACCUCUGGCUCAGCUUCCCAACUCAUGCAGGAGAGGAACCUGAAGCUUAGAUAGAUUAUGGAACUUGCUCGAGAUCAUACAAGAAGUGGCAAUGCCGGGAUUUGAGCCCACGAUUGACAAAGCUUUUAUUCUUUGCAUUCUACCAGGCUGCCUCC